UGGUGACCAGCGGAGGGACAUUAAAGAGUUCUAUAACUCCCAAACCCAUGUGAACAUACCUAACGUUGCCUCGGCAGGUCGCACCUACCUUGUAGCACCCUACCCUGUAGGGCCUACCCGGGAGGUGCGGGUAAGCCUGCCGGCGGCCCACCAAACUCUGUUUGAUAUUGAAUUCUGAACCUAUAACUAAAUAAGUUAAAACUUUCAACAACGGAUCUCUUGGUUCUGGCAUCGAUGAAGAACGCAGCGAAAUGCGAUAAGUAAUGUGAAUUGCAGAAUUCAGUGAAUCAUCGAAUCUUUGAACGCAUAUUGCGCCCAUUAGUAUUCUAGUGGGCAGGACCGUUCGAGCGUCAUUUCAACCCUUAAGCCUUCGUUGCUUAGUGUUGGGAGCCUACGGCAACGUAGCUCCUCAAAGUUAGUGGCGGAGUUGGUUCACACUCUAGACGUAGUAAUUUUUUAUCUCGCCUAUUAGUUGGACUAAUCCCCUGCCGUAAAACCCCCAAUUUAUCAAGGUUGACCUCGAAUCGGUUCAGACAAACUCGCUAAAU
rnacentral:rRNA from 1 species